UACGUAGGUGGCAAGCGUUGUCCGGAUUUACUGGGCGUAAAGGGCGCGUAGGCGGCCGCCUAAGUCAGACGUGAAAUCCCUCGGCUCAACCGGGGAACUGCGUCUGAUACUGGGUGGCUUGAAUCCGGGAGAGGGAUGCGGAAUUCCAGGUGUAGCGGUGAAAUGCGUAGAUAUCUGGAGGAACACCGGUGGCGAAGGCGGCAUCCUGGACCGGCAUUGACGCUGAGGCGCGAAAGCCAGGGGAGCAAACGGG
rnacentral:rRNA from 1 species